CAGUGUGAAUCAUUUUAUUGCUUCAGUAAUGGGUUCAGAUUUUAUUUACUGACGUUGUUAAUUUUUUUGUUCCUGUGUAAUGAUGCACCAUUUAUAUUAUUUCUCUUCUCCAGAAUGUGAAGGACGUCUUGAGGAGUUUGGAAGACAAUAGGAAAUGGGAUGAUGGAAAUUUAGAAAACACUGAGAUUGCCUUUAGCAUACACCAAUCCACAGGCAGAUUAAGUGUUCAAGAAGGAACUGCAGAUGCUGGAAGAUCAAAGAUGCUGCCUGACUCGCUGAGUUCCUUCGUCACUUUCAACAGUCCACAGGGGCAAUGUGGAAUGAUGAUUUUGCAGUCGCUUGUUAGCACUACACAGAACACAAGCAUACCUGUGGAUGUCUGAAGGAAGGGUUGGCUGGCAGUGGUCUGCUUGGUCCUCCAGAAUUGGACCCCACGCUGUGGUUCAGUGG